rnacentral:rRNA from 1 species
GACGAACGCUGGCGGCGUGCUUAACACAUGCAAGUCGAACGGAAAGGCCCUGCUUUUGUGGGGUGCUCGAGUGGCGAACGGGUGAGUAACACGUGAGUAACCUGCCCUUGACUUUGGGAUAACUUCAGGAAACUGGGGCUAAUACCGGAUAGGAGCUCCUGCUGCAUGGUGGGGGUUGGAAAGUUUCGGCGGUUGGGGAUGGACUCGCGGCUUAUCAGCUUGUUGGUGGGGUAGUGGCUUACCAAGGCUUUGACGGGUAGCCGGCCUGGGAGGGUGACCGGCGACAUGAGACCUGAGAUAAGGCCAGGACUCCUACGGGAGGCAGGGGUGGGGAAUAUUGCACAAUGGGCGGAAGCCUGAUGCAGCAACGCCGCGUGCGGGAUGACGGCCUGCGGGUGGUAAACCGCUUUCGCCUGUGACGAAGCGUGAGUGACGGUAAUGGGUAAAGAAGCACCGGCUAACUACGUG